CCUGGUAAUUAUAGCGAUUUGGAACCACCUGAUCCCAUUUCGAACUCAGAAGUGAAACGAAUAUGCGCCGAUGAUAGUAUGAAGUUUCUUCAUGUUAAAGUAGGUGAUUACCAGGU
rnacentral:rRNA from 1 species